GAUGAACGCUAGCGGCAGGCCUAAUACAUGCAAGCCGAACGGUAAGAUUGGUAGCAAUACUGAUCUGAGAGUGGCGUACGGGUGCGUAACACGUAUGCAACCUACCCAGAACUGGAGGAUAGCUCAGGGAAACUUGGAUUAACCCUCCAUAAGAUCGUGUCCAGGCAUCUGGGUGCGAUAAAAACCUUCGGGUGGUUCUGGAUGGGCAUGCGCAUGAUUAGUUAGUUGGUAGUGUAACGGACUACCAAGACGAUGAUCAUUAGGGGACCUGAGAGGGUGAUCCCCCACACUGGCACUGAGAUACGGGCCAGACUCCUACGGGAGGCAGCAGUAGGGAAUAUUGGUCAAUGGGUGCAAGCCUGAACCAGCCAUGCCGCGUGCAGGAAGACGGCCUUCUGGGUUGUAAACUGCUUUUACCAGGGGAUAAAAGGCCCAUGCGUGGGACAUUGAAGGUACCUGGUGAAUAAGCCACGGCUAACUAC
rnacentral:rRNA from 1 species